GAUGAACGCUGGCGGCGUGCCUAAUACAUGCAAGUCGAGCGAACAGACGAGGAGCUUGCUCCUCUGACGUUAGCGGCGGACGGGUGAGUAACACGUGGAUAACCUACCUAUAAGACUGGGAUAACUUCGGGAAACCGGAGCUAAUACCGGAUAAUAUAUUGAACCGCAUGGUUCAAUAGUGAAAGACGGUUUUGCUGUCACUUAUAGAUGGAUCCGCGCCGCAUUAGCUAGUUGGUAAGGUAACGGCUUACCAAGGCAACGAUGCGUAGCCGACCUGAGAGAGUGAUAGGCCACACUGGAACGGGGACACGGUCCAGACUCCUACGGGAGGCAGCAGUAGGGAAUCUUCCGCAAUGGGCGAAAGCCUGACGGAGCAACGCCGCGUGAGUGAUGAAGGUCUUCGGAGCGUAAAACUCUGUUAUUAGGGAAGAACAAAUGUGUAAGUAACUAUGCACGUCUUGACGGUACCUAAUCAGAAAGCCACGGCUAACUACGUG
rnacentral:rRNA from 1 species